GGCGGCGUAGCUCAGCUGGUCAGAGCACGCGGUUCAUACCCGCGGUGUCCGGGGUUCGAGUCCCUGCGCCGCUA
rfam:Desulfotomaculum sp. 46_80 MPI_scaffold_814, whole genome shotgun sequence.